UACGAAGGGGACUAGCGUUGUUCGGAAUCACUGGGCGUAAAGCGCACGUAGGCGGAUGUGUCAGUCAGGGGUGAAAUCCCGGGGCUCAACCUCGGGACUGCCUUUGAUACAGCACGUCUCGAGUCCGGAAGAGGUGGGUGGAAUUCCUAGUGUAGAGGUGAAAUUCGUAGAUAUUAGGAAGAACACCGGUGGCGAAGGCGGCCCACUGGUCCGGUACUGACGCUGAGGUGCGAAAGCGUGGGGAGCAAACAGG
rnacentral:rRNA from 1 species